rnacentral:rRNA from 1 species
GAUGAACGCUGGCGGCGUGCCUAAUACAUGCAAGUCGAGCGAACGGACGAGAAGCUUGCUUCUCUGAUGUUAGCGGCGGACGGGUGAGUAACACGUGGAUAACCUACCUAUAAGACUGGGAUAACUUCGGGAAACCGGAGCUAAUACCGGAUAAUAUUUUGAACCGCAUGGUUCAAAAGUGAAAGACGGUCUUGCUGUCACUUAUAGAUGGAUCCGCGCUGCAUUAGCUAGUUGGUAAGGUAACGGCUUACCAAGGCAACGAUGCAUAGCCGACCUGAGAGGGUGAUAGGCCACACUGGAACUGAGACACGGUACAGACUCCUACGGGAGGCAGCAGUAGGGAAUCUUCCGCAAUGGGCGAAAGCCUGACGGAGAAACGCCGCGUGAGUGAUGAAGGUCUUCGGAUCGUAAAACUCUGUUAUUAGGGAAGAACAUAUGUGUAAGUAACUGUGCACAUCUUGACGGUACCUAAUCAGAAAGCCACGGCUAACUACGUG